rnacentral:tRNA from 1 species
GCUUGUGUGGCUCAGUCGGUAGAGCAGCUGAUUCGUAAUCAGCAGGUCGGCGGUUCGAGUCCGCCCACAAGCUCCA